rnacentral:snRNA from 1 species
GUGCUCAGUUCAGCAGCACAUAUACUAAAAAUUGGAAUGAUACAGAGAAUAUUAGCAUGGCCCCUGCACAAGGAUGACAUACACAUUUGUGAAGCAUUCCAUAUUUAA